UCCUGUUUUCUGUUGGUGAUGUGAACUGACUUUGUGCAUUUUGUGUUCUGAUUUCUGUUCAUUUGAUUUCUGUUUGUUUCAUCUUCGUUUGUGCUCAAGUAGUCAGAGCUGUAGGAGCUGAUCUGUGUCAGCUGCUGGCUCGGGGUCUCCCAGACGUCAGCCCUGCUGACCCUUCCUGGGGGAGCCCUGGAGACGGAGAGGAAUCCGGAGGAAGAAUCGGAUCCUGCUGCUCCUGUUGGGUCAAAUUUGUUUUUCUUUUUCCAUUUUUGAUUACUUUGUCCUUUUUCUAUUUUCUUUUGUUUCCAACCACCAUUCAUAAUCAUUUUGUGUUUUCUCAUUUAACAUUUUAUUCCACUAGAGGAGUCUCCGUGGUUGGUCUGGUUUAGUGGAUACAGUUCAUGUUUUCUGUUGGUGAUGGGAGCAGAGUGAGUUUGUUCAUUUUUGUGUUUUGAUUUCUGUUCAUUUGAUUUCUGUUGUUGCAUUUUCAUUUGUGCACCACUCGUCUCCCUUCCUGGGAGCCCCGGGAGAGGGAGAAGAAUCCCGAGGCCAGAAUCGCAUCCUGGAUGGGGACUUCCCGGGGAGGGACUGCCUGCUGUCCCCCAAGCCCUCUUUGUCCCCAGAGGUUCCUGCGUCUCUUGGCAGAGCAGGGCAGGAGGUGUCCAUGGCGGCUCCUGGACAGAGCUGAGAAGGCUGUCAGGUGGGAUAGGUGCUGUCUGCACGGGGGAGGGAGAAAGGGUUUUCACUGGGAAUUCAGCCUGCAGGGGACUCAGCUGUGGCGCCUCUGUGUGCAGGGGAGGGGCCAUGGCAGUGCGGGCCCUUCUGUCCUGUGCACAGGGGCUCUGCUGGCCUGUCUGUGGUGGCUCUCCAAGAUUCAAGACCCAAAGAAGCCCCGGAAACCUGAUCUGCACCAGCAAGAAGACUUCCUGUGGAAGGACCUCUUGGUGGUCACCACGAGCAUCCACGGGAAGAUGGACUCCGAGACGCCCAGCUCAGUAUCCUCGCCCUUCCUGAAGAGGUGUUGAAUGUCCCUCGUCCUCGCUGCCCCCAGACAGGACCCUGUGGCUUCUCUGGCUGCCCCCAGGAGAAACGAUCGACCACCAUGAGAAGAACUCCAACACCCCAUCUUCAGAAUCCUCGCCCUUCCAGAAGAGGUGUUGAAUGUCCCUCAUCCUCACUGCCCCCUGAACAGGACCUCGUGGCUUCUCUGGCUGCCCAGAGGUCA
rnacentral:lncRNA from 1 species